UGGGGAAUUUUGGACAAUGGGCGCAAGCCUGAUCCAGCCAUGCCGCGUGCGGGAAGAAGGCCUUCGGGUUGUAAACCGCUUUUGUCAGGGAAGAAAUCUUCUGAGUUAAUACCUCGGGAGGAUGACGGUACCUGAAGAAUAAGCACCGGCUAACUACGUGCCAGCAGCCGCGGUAAUACGUAGGGUGCAAGCGUUAAUCGGAAUUACUGGGCGUAAAGCGUGCGCAGGCGGUUUUGUAAGACAGAGGUGAAAUCCCCGGGCUCAACCUGGGAACUGCCUUUGUGACUGCAAGGUUUUGAGUGCGGGCAGAGGGGGGCAAUGGGAAUUUCCCGCGUGUAGCAGUGAAAUGCGUAGAUAUGCGGAGGAACACCGAUGGCGAAGGCAA
rnacentral:rRNA from 1 species